rnacentral:rRNA from 1 species
ACGCACGCUGGCGGCGUGCUUAACACAUGCAAGUCGCACGGAAAGGCCCUGCUUUUGUGGGGUGCUCGAGUGGCGAACGGGUGAGUAACACGUGAGUAACCUGCCCUUGACUUUGGGAUAACUUCAGGAAACUGGGGCUAAUACCGGAUAGGCGCUCCUGCUGCAUGGUGGGGGUUGGAAAGUUUCGGCGGUUGGGGAUGGACUCGCGGCUUAUCAGCUUGUUGGUGGGGUAGUGGCUUACCAAGGCUUUGACGGGUAGCCGGCCUGAGAGGGUGACCGGCCACAUUGGGACUGAGAUACGGCCCAGACUCCUACGGGAGGCAGCAGUGGGGAAUAUUGCACAAUGGGCGGAAGCCUGAUGCAGCAACGCCGCGUGCGGGAUGACGGCCUUCGGGUUGUGAACCGCUUUCGCCUGUGACGAAGCGUGAGUGACGGUAAUGGGUAAAGAAGCACCGGCUAACUACGUG